UAACUACUCCCUCCGUCUCAAUAUUUUUAUCUUAGAUUUGUCUAGAUAUGAAUGUAUCUAGUCACGUUUUGGUAUUUAGAUACAUUUACUUUUAAACAAACCUAAGACAAGGAUUUUGGGACGGAGGGAGUAGUAU
rfam:Hordeum vulgare subsp. vulgare, WGS project CAJW01000000 data, contig: morex_contig_1641800